UCAGCCCCAAUCUAUGCCGUGAUGUUUUUCAUGUUUGAACUCCUUCUUGCCGCAGGCCGCAGGUCACCGAGUUUCACCUGGGCGCAGCUUGUGCUCACCUCAGCCGUGUCGUGCCUCGCCGUCAUGGCGCCCCACCUCUUCCCGGCGUGCUUCGCCUUGGCCGUUUCGACGACGUGAGGACCUGCUUGCCGCGCAGGAGUUUUCCGCGUGGGACCCUGCCUAGACGCGGGACCUCUACCCGCUCGCCGUCUCCUUCCUCGGGGCCGCCAGCGAGCUCGCACUCACGGAGGCUGCCGUCGAGGAAUAUCUUGUGCCAGCCUCCGCGUCCAUUACGCCGCGGGCAACGCCUUCGUGCGCCGCUACGCGGGCUCCGGCACCUUCUGGCAGAUGGACGCGACGGUUGGCCGGCUUUGGAGGUCCGACCUCCUCAUCUCCUCCGCGUCGAUGUAUAUCAGCCGCUAGACGUACUGCAGGCUCGGCGAGUUCGCGAGCGGCGUCAUCCUCGGCAGCUGGGGCGUCGGCAAUCUGGUAUGGAAUUUCGGCUGGACCUCACUACCCGACAGGAUGCAAUUCUUCUGCUGCAGCCGGAGGGGCUUCUCUUCUCGCUCUGUUGUUUGCUUGAUUCGACUCCUUCAUGUCCAAAGAAUGGUCUUGCCCACCACAUGUUCGUUUGAAUGAACCAACAAUUUGGGCCUGGAUGCUUACCGACUGAAUUUCUGUUUGUCCCAUGUCUCUUAGUUGAAGUUUUGGUUUUUUACAGGUAUACAUACUCUUGCUCUACAAGAUUUUUGGAUGCAGCUCAUAUAAUUCGUUGUGUUGACUUAUCAAACAUGACAUUAUUGCUGGUGUUCUGUAGGUGAAAAUUUUGUUGCUUGAACUAUAUUCUUGGCCACUGUGGUAUGGUUAGCUGAAAAUAAUAAUGCUACAAUGAAACAAAGGUAAUUAUUGUUUGGUACAAGAAAACCCGUUGGUGAUUUUGAAGGAACUUUCAUAAAGGAGGGUACUGAUAAAACGGCACUAUUUUUAUGCAACCAAAACAAUUUGUAGUCUACCUAAAGACACGUUAUGGGCUAUCAUGGUUUCCUUAUUUAAGAUUUGCUAAGCUAGCUACGUGUUAUUGCUGAGUGCGCACUAUCGUUUAUAUAUAACGUAAUGGGGAUGUAUCUAAAUACGAUCUACUGCUCCUGGAAAAAAGUGUUAGUCCAUCGGACUUUCUUUGAAGGUUCUUGGUUUUUGUGCCAAGCCUCUUUUUUGUACAUAUGCAACUUCUUACAAUGUUUUUGUAUAGUUCUGUUGUCAUGAGUUCAUGACGGUAUGGUGUUACGUAUAUAUGUUAUUCUAUCCUAUGCUCCUUUUUAUGUUGUUAGAUUAUACUAAUUUUGGUUUCUCUUUUCCCUAUUUCACAGUAUGGUUGUUCAGUCUUUCAGAGUGUGGACUGCCUGUGUUGAAGUUAUUGUAUUUCCAACUAACUAUUAUGGGAUGUGUGUGUAAACGGCCUUUUAAUGUUCAAGGAUUGAGUCAUGCACUCAUUCUACGAUGUUGGCGCCUGGCGGUACGUCAGUAUAUCUUGCGACAGAAUUGUCGCCGAACAGCAAGUUGGCAUCACUUUGCUAGGAAGUCGUUGGAGGUGGUUGAUUUUAAUUAGGUUUAUAUGUUGAAUAGAUUAAUGAUAUAUUUUUUUAUUUCGAGUUUGGUUUUAUGGAUUGCGGCAUGUACAAAAAAUUUGCACUCAAAUAUUCAUUGAAAUAUUAUUAUCUAUUCUGAUUUACUACCAUAUUGGGGUGACUAUUGAUUUACAACUAGAUGUCGAGCUGCCAUUUAGUAUCAGUUAUCUAUAUGAUGUCAAUUUCUUGCAUGCCUUCUUACUUGCUCAUAAUGAGCGAAAAAUCAUGGUUGUUCUAGAUGUAUUUUGCAAAGGACAUGAAUGUCAUAUUUGUUGCCAACAAGAUCCCUUCACGUGUUCCCACUAGGCUCUUUCCCCCACUCCCCUAGGAGCCCCAAUCACUGCAGCAUUGGACAGUAGCUAAGGUCUGUUAUGACGUGGAAGGAUAGGGCUUCUUUGAUCUGAACCAUGCCUUAUUUUAGAAGUUAUAGGCACAUGUGUGUACUAUGCAACAUAAUCCCUGCUUAAACUUUUUUACUGUGACUCAUGCUAUUAGUCUAUACAAUUAAAUCAAUAUUGGAUAUGAGAAACUAGGCGAGGGCGACGCGCCGUGGAAGAAGCUCAGCGUCCCUCUCAUGUUCGCUCCGAUGAGAAGUUAUUUAAAUUCAGGUGGUUGCAAUGGGCCAUGAAGACUGUGGCGGGUGAUAACACCAACAAUUCAGGCAACAACCUUCCCUGUUUACUGCAAUUAUAUCUUCUUGGAAGAAGUUAUCUGGCAAGCUAAACAUAGCAAGAAAAGGUGACUGGGACAUACUGUCAACCAUCCUUGUCGUUGCCAUCAUCAGAGACCAUUUGCACGUGUGUGCCAUGGGAUGGCAUUGGUAAAAUUUCCUGGUCUUUAGUUCGCUACCCUGCUUUCGAAUUACUCUGCACUAUGGAAAGCAAGGGAGAUAGCAUUUCUAUCUAGACUAGAUAUUCUUGCCAAGGAAGAUACUAUCACCAACGUUGGUGCCUAAACUCCUUGGUCAGCUGAAUUCGAAUUAAGAAACUUAGUCUUAAUUGUAGAUGCUAGCGACGGUGUUACCACACAAAGAUUAUACAUUGUUAUACUGAAAAAAGGUAGGUAGGAGAGGUGCAGGGUGUCUCUUUCGAUGAUGAAGAUUAGUCAUUAGGUAUCAGAACUCUGUCACUUACGUGGGAAGUUCAGUGUUUCUUUUUUUUUUGUAGGGAGCGUCGAUGGCUGGAGAUUGUUGAAGCACUUUGGUUAUACGAAUCAGAUGCUAACAGAUUUUCAUUAAAUACUACUGGCUGUUUGACUGAAACAGAAGUUAUUUAAAUUCAGAUGUGUUCUUCCUCUGAACUCUUUGCUCAAUGAAGGCACUAUGUUCCCUCCCGGGAUAUAGUAAGGUCGUAUGUUCUCUAAGAGUUUGUGUAAGGAAGCAGGUGAACUAUUUUUCUUCUUCUAGAUAACAUGUAGUCCUCCUAUACAAAGAAUAACUGCAGAAAUCUUAUAUGUAUAUCCUAUAUCUAAGAAAUCAGCCAUAUAACGUGAUCAAAUUAAUCGAAGCAAACCGAUGUUACUCCUGUUGGUAUAUUUAAUCACUUUUGCUCCCCGGGCCAUACCGUUUGUCUGACCACCGGUUUGGCAGCAUGGUGUUGCUGAACGUCUAGAAAUCCAUGAUCAGAGGAAAGAAACCUGCAGUUGAUGUGUUUAGAUCGUUGCCUAUGGUCAGUUUUUUACUGCUUGGGGGAAACAAAGUGCACUUGAGAAUUCGUAAAGUUCAUGAACUCUGAUGGC